ACGCCGCUACAGUAACUAAAGGUAUGACGGGCCGCACAAGCGGUGGAGUAUGUGGUUUAAUUCGAUGCAACGCGAAGAACCUUACCUGGUCUUGACAUCCCGGAGACCCUUAGGAAACUAGGGGUGCUUCCAUCUGGAAGAAUCUGGAGACAGGUGCUGCAUGGCUGUCGUCAGCUCGUGUCGUGAGAUGUUGGGUUAAGUCCCGCAACGAGCGCAACCCUUGCCUUUAGUUUGCCAGCAGUUCGGCUGGGCACUCUAAAGGGACUGCCGGUGUUAAACCGGAGGAAGGUGGGGAUGACGUCAAGUCCUCAUGGCCUUUAUGACCAGGGCUACACACGUACUACAAUGGCCGAUACAAAGGGCAGCGACACUGCGAGGUGAAGCCAAUCCCGUAAAAUCGGUCUCAGUCCGGAUUGGAGUCUGCAACUCGACUCCAUGAAGUUGGAAUCGCUAGUAAUCGUGGAUCAGCAUGCCACGGUGAAUACGUUCCCGGGCCUU
rnacentral:rRNA from 1 species